AGCACUUUUCCUGUGGCUGCACUCCAUUUUGCUGUGCAAGUGUGCAGCAUGUUUCAAGGGCGGGGAAACCUCCUUACACAGACUCCAGGCUUAAGAAGAGAUGGCAAGUGUGACGUCAAAUCAGCUCAUGAUCGAACAGCGGCAGGUGGUGGAGGUGCCUCCUGCUGGGGAUUGGUGCUUGCAAGAAAACAGUGUGAUAGCAGGCCCAGUCGGCAGACAUGUCAUUUCCUGUGAGAACAUCCUUACCUCAGGGAUUUUUUUUAUUGAUGAACUGAAAAGGAGCCGCGGUCGUUGUGAUGACAGGAAAGUGACGUACUACUGCUCUCAUCUACGUAUAUGAGGAUUAAAAUGGCAACCAGACAGCUGUGUUAUGUCAAGACUUACAUCAUCAGGAAGAACUCCGAAGCUCCAGAAGAAAUGUGAAGUUGUACUGCCUGUCUUAUUUUGGUGUGCAUUUUUUAAUCCUGUGUGAAAUCUGCAUUGAGAUGACUUUUAAUGUCUUAAAGGCUGUCUGUCACGGGUCAGAUUAACAUAAAUUCACAAAAUAUUUCGCA